rnacentral:lncRNA from 1 species
AGCAGCGUAGCUGAACAUCUUACGGAUGGCCCAGGGCUCCAAAGGCUCGUUUCCUAAGUGAGAGAGAGCCUGGCUGAAGCUGUAUUACCAUUCAUUCUCCAGCCUCCGAAGUCUCAAAGCAUCACUUCCACCAUACUCUAACUGUCAAGACAAACACAAAGGCCCAGAAACUGCCAGACUGUCUUCUGAAGUGGCUAUAAUAUUUACACUCCCAUCAGCAGUGUAGAAGGGGUCUCACUAUGUUGUCUGGAGUGCUGUGGUGGAGUGGAGUGGCUAUUCACAGAGCCUGUUCUGCUGGGACACAGAAUCACUUGCUCCAUCUCAUACAUUGAUGAUGAUUAAUUUGUAUGUGUACCUUCCAAAAAAGAUGGUUGUGUUUGAAUGGAGGCCUUCUGGACAGGAAAAUAUGGAGAGUGCGUGCUUUGGAUUCAAGACUGGGAAUGAGGGGACCAGAAACCUAUUCUGUGGCUGUUUCUUGUUAGGACUUUCCUAAGCCUCUGGAAAAGACUAAUCUUUCCAAGUUCAUCUGAGGCUCCUCUUCUCCAUGACAACCUCAUCCAGGGAUUUCUUCCUGUCCUGGUGUUUU